rnacentral:rRNA from 1 species
UACGGAGGGUGCAAGCGUUAUCCGGAUUCACUGGGUUUAAAGGGUGCGUAGGAGGGCAGGUAAGUCAGUGGUGAAAUCUCCAAGCUUAAUUUGGAAACUGCCGUUGAUACUAUCUGUCUUGAAUACCGUGGAGAUGAGCGGAAUAUGUCAUGUAGCGGUGAAAUGCUUAGAUAUGACAUAGAACACCAAUUGCGAAGGCAGCUCGUUACACGAAUAUUGACUCUGAGGCACGAAAGCGUGGGGAUCAAACAGG